AGGACGAACGCUGGCGGCGUGCUUAACACAUGCAAGUCGAACGGAAGUAGAAAUACUUAGUGGCGGACGGGUGAGUAACGCGUGAGCAACCUGCCCUUAUCAGGGGGAUAACACAGAGAAAUUUGUGCUAAUACCGCAUAACGUUGCGAAUAGGCAUCUAAUUGCAACCAAAGAUUUAUCGGAUAAGGAUGGGCUCGCGUCCCAUUAGGUAGUUGGUGAGGUAACGGCCCACCAAGCCGACGAUGGGUAGCCGAUCUGAGAGGAUGAACGGCCACAUUGGAACUGAGAGACGGUCCAGACUCCUACGGGAGGCAGCAGUGGGGAAUAUUGGGCAAUGGGCGCAAGCCUGACCCAGCAACGCCGCGUGAAUGAAGAAGGUUUUCGGAUUGUAAAGUUCUGUGAUGGGGGACGAAGAAAGUGACGGUACCCCAAUAGCAAGCUACGGCUAACUACGUGCCAGCAGCCGC
rnacentral:rRNA from 1 species